GGGGCCGGUGCGGGUGCUAUACAUGCAAGUCGAGCGGACAGAUGGGAGCUUGCUCCCUGAUGUUAGCGGCGGACGGGUGAGUAACACGUGGGUAACCUGCCUGUAAGACUGGGAUAACUCCGGGAAACCGGGGCUAAUACCGGAUGGUUGUUUGAACCGCAUGGUUCAAACAUAAAAGGUGGCUUCGGCUACCACUUACAGAUGGACCCGCGGCGCAUUAGCUAGUUGGUGAGGUAACGGCUCACCAAGGCAACGAUGCGUAGCCGACCUGAGAGGGUGAUCGGCCACACUGGGACUGAGACACGGCCCAGACUCCUACGGGAGGCAGCAGUAGGGAAUCUUCCGCAAUGGACGAAAGUCUGACGGAGCAACGCCGCGUGAGUGAUGAAGGUUUUCGGAUCGUAAAGCUCUGUUGUUAGGGAAGAACAAGUACCGUUCGAAUAGGGCGGUACCUUGACGGUACCUAACCAGAAAGCCACGGCUAACUACGUGCCAGCAGCCGCGGUAAUACGUAGGUGGCAAGCGUUGUCCGGAAUUAUUGGGCGUAAAGGGCUCGCAGGCGGUUUCUUAAGUCUGAUGUGAAAGCCCCCGGCUCAACCGGGGAGGGUCAUUGGAAACUGGGGAACUUGAGUGCAAAAGAGGAGAGUGGAAUUCCACGUGUAGCGGUGAAAUGCGUAAGAUGUGGAGGAACACCAGUGGCGAAGGCGACUCUCUGGUCUGUAACUGACGCUGAGGAGCGAAAGCGUGGGGGAGCGGAACAGGAUUAUAUACCCUGGGAGUCCACCCCGAAACCGAUGAGUGC
rnacentral:rRNA from 1 species